GCUGGGUGCAGUGGCGCACACCUACAAUCCCAGCUGCUGGGGAGGCUGAGGCAGGAGGAUCGCAAGUUCAAAGCCAGUCUCUGCAAAAGCGAGGUGCUAAACGACUCAGUGAGACCCUGUCUCUA
rnacentral:sRNA from 1 species